rnacentral:rRNA from 1 species
GACGAACGCUGGCGGCGUGCCUAAUACAUGCAAGUAGAACGCUGAAGGAGGAGCUUGCUUCUCUGGAUGAGUUGCGAACGGGUGAGUAACGCGUAGGUAACCUGCCUGGUAGCGGGGGAUAACUAUUGGAAACGAUAGCUAAUACCGCAUAAUAGCAGUUAUUGCAUGAUAACUGUUUGAAAGGUGCAAUUGCAUCACUACCAGAUGGACCUGCGUUGUAUUAGCUAGUUGGUGGGGUAACGGCUCACCAAGGCGACGAUACAUAGCCGACCUGAGAGGGUGAUCGGCCACACUGGGACUGAGACACGGCCCAGACUCCUACGGGAGGCAGCAGUAGGGCUUCUUCGGCAAUGGACGGAAGUCUGACCGAGCAACGCCGCGUGAGUGAAGAAGGUUUUCGGAUCGUAAAGCUCUGUUGUAAGAGAAGAACGAGUGUGAGAGUGGAAAGUUCAC